rnacentral:lncRNA from 1 species
UUGAAUAUUUAUUAAAUGUUGAAUAUAAAAUUACAAAAAAUUAAAUAUUUAUUAGAUAUGGAAUAACCCAUAACAUCUACUAAAUAUUCCAUUUAUUGCCAUUGAAUAUUUAGUAGAUGUUGUGAGUUAUUUCACAUCUAAUAAUUAUUAGAUUGGACCCCUUUAUUUACUGUUAUUGAAUAUUUAUUAGAUGUUGAAUAUAUGGAAUAACCCACAACAUCAACUAAACAAUAUUACUCUAUCCCAACUCGCGUGAGCAUUCAUUACUAAGGGAUACUCCAGUAUUGAUAUUGAGUCAUUCGAGGGGUUUUUAUUCGUUUUAAUAGAAGCAGAAAAGAAAAUAUUUUUUAUUUUGCUAUAUCCGUGUAUUACUUAUCCUUACGAAAUAUCAGACGAAAUAGAACGAUUUUAGAAAGGAUAUAAUGAAAUUCUUUGAUUGGUUUUUCAGAGAGAGAGAAAUGAUCUGACCGAUGG